rnacentral:misc_RNA from 1 species
GAUGAAGAACGCAGCGAAAUGCGAUACUUGGUGUGAAUUGCAGAAUCCCGUGAACCAUCGAGUCUUUGAACGCAAGUUGCGCCCGAAGCCAUUAGGCCGAGGGCACGCCUGCCUGGGUGUCACACACCGUUACCCUCGCGCCAACGUCCAUCGUUGGCCGCGGCGCGGGGCGUGCGCUGACCUCCCGCGAGCGGGGUCUCGUGGUUGGUUGAAAAUCGAGUUCGCGGUCGAGGGUGCCGUGAUGAAAUGGUGGAUGAUGAUGCACGAGGCCAAUCACGCGCGACUCUGUCCGGCUCGGACUCCUGGACCCCUUCGGCGUCUCCGGACGCUCUUUGGCGAGACCUCAGGUCAGGCGGGGCUACCCGCUGAGUUUAAGCAUAUCAAUAAGCGGAGGA